rnacentral:rRNA from 1 species
CGAAGGGGGCUAGCGUUGUUCGGAAUUACUGGGCGUAAAGGGUGCGUAGGUUGUUAUUCAAGUUAGUGGUGAAAGCCCAGAGCUCAACUCUGGAACUGCCAUUAAAACUGAAUAGCUAGAGAGUGUUAGAGGUGAGUGGAAUUUCUAGUGUAGGAGUGAAAUCCGUAGAUAUUAGAAGGAACAUCAAUGGCGAAGGCAGCUCACUGGGUCACAUCUGACACUGAGGCACGAAAGCGUGGGUAGCAAACAGGAUUAGAUACCCUGGUAGUCCACGCCCUAAACGAUGGAUGCUAGAUGUCGGGACAUUAGUUUCGGCGUCGUAGUUAACGCGUUAAGCAUCCCGCCUGGGGAGUACGGUCGCAAGAUUA